GCAUAUCAAUAAGCGGAGGAAAAGAAACUAACAAGGAUUCCCCUAGUAAUGGCGAAUGAAGAGGGAAAAGCUCAAAUUUUAAAUCUACCUGGUUCCCAGGUCGAGUUGUAAUUUGAAGAAGCGAUAUCGGUGUGGAGGUCUGGUUCAAGUUCUUUGGAACAAGACAUCAUGGAGGGUGAGAAUCCCGUGCAUGAUCAGACCAAGAUACUUAAUAUUCGCUUCUAUGAGUCGAGUUGUUUGGGAAUGCAGCUCAAAAUGGGUGGUAGACUUCACCUAAGGCUAAAUAUCAGCGAGAGACCGAUAGCGAACAAGUACUGUGAAGGAAAGAUGAAAAGAACUUUGAAAAGAGAGUUAAAUAGUACGUGAAAUUGUUGAAAGGGAAACGAUUGAAGUCAGUCAUGCUAGUGAAAAUUUCAGUUUGGUGGGUUUUGGGUUCAGGAGUUGAGGCAGGGUCAAACCGUUUCUCUUUUGAACUUGGAAUUUGUCAGAUGCACUUUUUCUUUGGCAGGUCAGCGUCGAUUUCGGAGGUUGUAAAAUACUUGGGGAAAAGUAGCUCUGCUUCGGGAGAGUGUUAUAGACCUUGGGUGAUGCGGCCUGCGGGAUCGAGGAUUGCAGCAAAUGCUUUUGGCUUGUCGCCUGAUCUCUGGACGUCAUCUCGCUAGUAUCAACAUUCUUGGUACCGGUGAGUAAUGGUGCUCAUAGGUUAGAGCGAUCAAAAAUUUUGCUAAGGAUGCUGACGUAAUGGCUUUAAACGAC
rnacentral:rRNA from 1 species